AAGUUGCGCCCUAAGCCCCUAGGCCGAGGGCACGCNUGCCUGGGUGUCACGCAUCGCUGCCCCACCGCCUCCCCGCCCUCUCCGAGGGCGCCCGGCGGUGCGGGCGGACAUUGGCCUCCCGUGCGCUCUCCGCUCGCGGUUGGCCCAAAUACGAGUCCCCGGCGACCGGCGCCGCGACGAUCGGUGGGAAUGAAAAACUCCUCGAGCGCACGUCGCGGGCCCUCCCGAGGGAAUCACGGACCCCCAAGCUCCGCGCAGAGCGGCGCUCGCUNCGCGACCCCAGGUCAGGCGGGACUACCCGCUGAGUUUAAGCGUAUCAAUAAGCGGAGGAAAAGAAACUUACCAA
rnacentral:rRNA from 1 species